rnacentral:rRNA from 1 species
UGCGAGCGAACAGGGAAGAGCCCAGCACCGAAUCCCGCGGCCGAUAUCGGACGCCGGGAAAUGUGGUGUUAGGGAGGAUCCGUUUAUCCCGAGGUCGUGCGGUGCGUCCAAGUCCUUCUUGAACGGGGCUACAGCCCAUAGAGGGUGCCAGGCCCGUAGCGACCGCUGCCGAUCGCGGGAGGAUCUCUCCUCAGAGUCGGGUUGCUUGAGAGUGCAGCCCUAAGUGGGUGGUAAACUCCAUCUAAGGCUAAAUAUGACCACGAGACCGAUAGCGAACAAGUACCGUGAGGGAAAGUUGAAAAGCACUUUGAAGAGAGAGUUCAAGAGUACGUGAAACCGUUCAGGGGUAAACCUGAGAAGCCCGAAAGGUCGAAUGGGGAAAUUCAUUCGCGUUUCGACCGUCGGCGUUGGAUGGUCGAGUGACGGACGGCGUACGCGUUGUCCGCGCCUUCCGUUCUUCGAACCGGCGUCGAACGCGUGCACUUUUCCCCUAGUAGGACGUCGCGAUCCGUUGGGUGUCGGUCUACGGCUCGCGGUGGAGACCGUGCGGUCGCUUUACGGCGUAUCGCACGGACCCGCGGUGUCCCGGCCGACUCGCUCGACGGUAUACAGAUGGCGAGGGGCCGCUACUAUUCAGUUAGCGUUCGGC